rnacentral:rRNA from 1 species
AGUGAACGCUGGCGGCAGGCCUAAUACAUGCAAGUCGAACGGCAGCACAGUGGAGCUUGCUCCAUGGGUGGCGAGUGGCGGGACGGGUGAGGAAUACAUGGGAAUCUGCCCAGUCGUGGGGGAUAACGUAUGGAAACGUACGCUAAUACCGCAUGCGCCCUUCGGGGGAAAGUCGGGGACCGCAAGGCCUGACGCGAUUGGAUGAGCCCAUGUUCGAUUAGCUAGUUGGCGGGUAACGGCCCACCAAGGCGACGAUCGAUAGCUGGUCUGAGAGGAUGAUCAGCCACACUGGAACUGAGACACGGUCCAGACUCCUACGGGAGGCAGCAGUAGGGAAUAUUGGACAAUGGGCGCGAGCCUGAUCCAGCCAUGCCGCGUGAGUGAAGAAGGCCCUCGGGUUGUAAAGCUCUUUUGUGGGG